UGAUAGUUGGUAUCGAAAGUUAAAAAUAGACUGAGAGAAUGAACGGAUCUUAUAAACGCCCGUAGUAUGAUCCGAGACGCUUAUCAGAAGUAGCUCAAUGAUCGAACUAUGGUUCAUUGCAUUAUGCUGGUGGCAAUGAAUGAUUAGUUUAGCUGUUGAUUCAAGAAUAUUUAGUCUCAAAAUAUGUUACAAAUAUUGAACAAGUCCUUUGGCAUGCCCGAC
rnacentral:lncRNA from 1 species